rnacentral:rRNA from 1 species
UGGGGGAUAUUGCACAAUGGGCGAAAGCCUGAUGCAGCGACGCCGCGUGGGGGAUGAAGGCUUUCGGGUUGUAAACCUCUUUCGCUAUCGAACAAGGCCCGCUUAGGGUGGGUUGAGGGUAGGUGGAGAAGAAGCGCCGGCUAACUACGUGCCAGCAGCCGCGGUAAUACGUAGGGCGCGAGCGUUGUCCGGAAUUAUUGGGCGUAAAGGGCUUGUAGGCGGCUUGUUGCGCCUGCUGUGAAAACGCGGGGCUUAAAUUCGCGCGUGCAGUGGGUACGGGCAGGCUUGAGUGUGGUAGGGGUGACUGGAAUUCCAGGUGUAGCGGUGGAAUGCGCAGAUAUCUGGAGGAACACCGAUGGCGAAGGCAGGUCACUGGGCCAUUACUGACGCUGAGGAGCGAAAGCAUGGGUAGCGAACAGG